AUUAUUUUUGUAGGAAAGUUUGAGUGUGAAUGCAAGAAAGUUGAAAAGUGGGUGUGAUUUUUCUUUCCCUAGCCAUACACGUAUCCACCCCAAAUUUUCCACUCUCUUUAUCUGAUUUUGCUGCCCCAAAAGUCUUCUCCCAUAUCUAAUCUUCCUGGCUGCACCAGACAAGAAAGUCUAGCUCCUUUACUUCUUUCUCAAUUCCUCUUUCUUUGCUCUUCUUUCUCUCUUCUUCCUUUGUUCUUACAUGGCAACCCUCCCUCUCUCACCAAAACAAAAUAUCCCUCUCUAAAGAAGAAAUUAAAGGGUUAACACUAAAAUUUCAGCUUCAAAUUGUUGGGGGGGAGUAGUUAUGUAAAAUUUCAUGACAAUUGGAUGUCUGUGGACAGCCCGUUUGUAUUUUACAAAUGGAGCAUAUGCUGCUGAAAUGAGUAGUGAACAGAAUAUGCUACACCUAACUUUGUGGAUUUAAUUCUCAAGUUAAGGUGUUACCAGUUCCUCAGGUUUAAGCUCCGUCAAUUGUAGGCUUUCAGUUCCUCUGCUUUCAGGUAAGGGAUAAGUUAUAUGGGCAUUUGGUAAGUCAUGAGGUUAUUUUAAAGUAUAUUAUGCAUUAAAAUGUUUUUGAUUAGAGAUAUGGCAUGUAAUCAUUAUUCUAACAAAGAUAUGUUCAUGAGCUUUCGAAAAACUUAUGUAUAUGAUUUAAGCAUAUUGAUGUUAUUAUUGAUUCCACAAACAUGAUGUUUAAAGAAAAGAAUGGAAAUGCUAUUAUUAUGAAAUGUUAUGCAAAAUAAGAAGUUUCAGUACGACGUAAAGUAUGAAAUAUUUUUGGGUUAUGUUCUCUGGUGAUCCAAACUCUGUCAGUAAGGAUUAAUUACUAACUUUCCAUGGAAAAUGUUAUAUGAUUGGCCAUUAUAUGGGACUGGUUCUGCUGUACCCGCCCCUUGUUAGUCACGGCCAACUUGUGGGGGAAGCCAACCUACCCCCAUGGUUGGAAGAUAUGUAUUAUGAUGUGAUCCCGGGAAUAUCUGGCAUUGUGGGGAAUGCUGGAUGUCUAGCACCGUGGUGCUAGAAGCCUCCCAAAUAAGUACAGACUUAUCAGAUAUGGGCUAACCAAUAAGUUAUUUAUGAAUAGCUAUAUUAUGUUAUUAAUCAUGAGAGAAUGAUUUUGUUAAAUGCAUUGUGAAAAGUUAAAAGCUCUCAUGAAAAUAAGAAGUUUCUGAUGAAAAGAAAGCUGUUCAUUAAAGAUAAAAGUUUCUGAAGUUCUAUUGUGCUAUAAAGAUAAAGUUUCUGAUGAAAGUACAAGUUAUGUUUAAAAUUUAUCAGAUACCUGUUCUUUAUGAAAUGUUAAGUUUUUUGACUAUGAAAGUUAUAAUAUUUUUCGAGAAAAUAUUUAUAAAGAAAUAUUUUCUUAUUGGGUCAAGAUGUUUCUAGUUUAAUACAAAGUUGCCGAUUAUCUGAUUUAAAUUAAAAUAAUUAUUUGUAAGGAAAAUAUAUAUGGUGACUUUGUAAGAACUGCAGGAGAUUCAAUAUGAAAGGUUUUGGUAAAAUUAUUUUGAUAAGAAAAAGGAGAAUAAUUAUUUUCUAUGAAGAGAGUAUAAGCUAUUAUUAUGAAUAGUAUAAAAUACUAUGCAUGAAAAGAUGUUCUCCUGUUCGAAUAUUCAUAGAAUGAAAUGAUUUGAUUUACAUGCAUCCUUAUUGAAUUCUCAUAUAUCUUACCUUUAUUGAGCUGUGUAGCUCACCCCUUCCACUCUUUCAGUUAGCAGGUUUUAUUUUGGAGCAGAGGGAGUCUUAGUUGAGUUUGAAAGGAGCUGGUUUUAGUUUUAUAUGUAUAGAUCCUAAAUUAGCAAUUUGAUAUUUAGCUUUGUAGUAUUGUGUAUAUUAGGAUCUAAUGAAAGUUGUGUACCUUAAAGUAUUAAGAGAUGUAUUAUGUGAAAGUGUGGAUAAUUAAAUGAUUGGUGGAUUAUGUUA